rnacentral:rRNA from 1 species
CCUACGGGGUGCAGCAGUGGGGGAUAUUGCACAAUGGGGGGAACCCUGAUGCAGCGACGCCGCGUGGGUGAAGAAGCGCCUCGGCGCGUAAAGCCCUGUCAGCAGGGAAGAAAAUGACGGUACCUGAAGAAGAAGCCCCGGCUAACUACGUACCAGCCGCCGCGGGAAUACGUAGGGGGCAAGCGUUAUCCGGAUUUACUGGGGGUAAAGGGGGCGCAGACGGCGAAGCAAGCCAGGAGUGACAGCCCGGGGCCCAACCCCGGGACUGCUCUUGGAACUGCGUGGCUGGAGUGCAGGAGGGGCAGGCGGAAUUCCUGGUGUAGCGGUGAAAUGCGUAGAGAUCAGGAGGAACACCGGUGGCGAAGGCGGCCUGCUGGACUGCAACUGACGUUGAGGCCCGAAAGCGUGGGGAGCAAACAGGAUUAGAUACCCCUGUAGUC